rnacentral:tRNA from 1 species
GUGGGAUUAGUUCAGCUGGUUAGAGCGCCAGUUUGUGGCACUGGAAGUCAUGGGUUCGAAUCCCAUAUCCCACCCCA